rnacentral:rRNA from 1 species
GGAUGAUGAUGACACGACCAGAGAUACUGGCCAGGGUGGCCGUCUGUUCGACGGAAGAGGAGGUCACGCGGGGCUGGUCUGCUCGUCUCGGGUCGAUCCCAAAGCUCUAAAGGGCAGCGGUCUUAGCUGGUGGAGAGCAGAGGCGCUCGUGGGCGGCCGCGGAAGGGAGCGGCAGCUGCAGAACGUGGGGCCUCUGGGAGGGCCUAGAGGCGGCGGAGGGGCGGGGGGAGGAGGAGGAGCUUGUGGUGGCGCCAGCUAGAGAUGAGCGCCGCGGGCGUCUAGACUAAGGCCCCAGGGGCCGAGAGGGUAGGUCCCGGUCCCGGUCCCGGUAUGAGCAGCCGGUAGUACGUCCGAUCACUGUCCAAGUUGUAGUUAAGAGUUGAACUCGUAGAGGUUCGGUUUAUGCAGCCUUGUCCCGUACGACUGGACUGGUCUAAACUUACCCGACAUUUGUAGGUUUCUCUGUCGAUACGUAGAAUGUAACCUGUGAUGGGCUACAACCGUAUAAAAAGGUAACGACUCUUACUUAGAUAACCUUCCCUCGCGAUGCUUAAAUACGUCUUUUACGACGAAGGGACACCGGAGGGAGGACUUUCUCUGCUUCUGACUCCUCAACCACGAUAUCAAGAUGGAGGUUUCGUUGAACACAGGUCUACGACAAGCAAUGGUUUCAGAGUUCCGGACAGACCUAAUCGGUGGAGUCGUGAAAUACACUAACACAAACUUGUAGCACUUGUAGAAACAGACCAAAUUAAGGACCUGCUGGAACCGGUAGAACGGAGUAUUUUCCUCAUUACAUUGCACUACAGCAUAGACGUAGAAUGAUGUAUACACUUGCUAUAUUAGCUUAGUGUCGUCACGUACAGCUUUAUCAAAAAAAAAGAAAGAUUAAACACGAAAUAAAAAAAGCAUUAGAACGAUCGACCCGAAGUAACAGAGGUGGACGAAGAGAGGUAACCGUCGGCUCCUCCUCUGUCUCCGUCGGGAACGUAAAGAAAAACUCUUUUUAAGUGGCAUCUAGUGAUUUGAACUCGGCC